UACGGAGGAUGCAAGCGUUAUCCGGAAUGAUUGGGCGUAAAGCGUCCGCAGGUGGCUGUGUAAGUCUGCUGUCAAAGAGCGAAGCUCAACUUCGUAAAGGCAGUGGAAACUACACGGCUAGAGUGCGUUCGGGGCAGAGGGAAUUCCUGGUGUAGCGGUGAAAUGCGUAGAGAUCCGGAGGAAGACCGGUGGCGAAGGCGGCCUGCUGGGCAGUUACUGACACUGAGGCGCGACAGCGUGGGGAGCAAACAGG
rnacentral:rRNA from 1 species